GAAAAGACGAAACAACUCAAAAGUAUUUAUACUAGAGACAGGGUGAUUGUUUUUGGAGAGGCUUGUUCAAAAUCUUGCUCCUAUUAUAUGUUUUAUUUAGUGUUAGCCGUGAGCUUCAAGACAAAACACUGUAACAAUCAUGGAAGUUUCCUCCAGUGAAUUCUUUGCUCCAACAUGAUGUUUUGAACAUGAAGCUGUGACUCACUGCCUGCCUGUAAUGUUGAGAUAUAUAUUUAUUUGGACAAGACACUGCUACAAACUCAUUAGGAAAUAACGAAUCUCGUCUUCACUCGUCUCUUCUCUGUAAACCUGAUCUUUUCUCUCUCGUCCUGAUUGUGCUGCAGAUCCAGAACUUGGGUUCCUCCCGGUCAGAGACCUCCAGCUCAACAUCGACAUCCCAGAGAUGACACAGAACGGCAACCGGCUCCUGCAGAUCUAUGACUUCAGCAUUGACCAGAGAGACGGUACGUACUGCCUCCCCCCGCAGCAUGUGGCCCAGAGCCGCGCCGCCCCAGAGGACCUGUCCCGGUACACGCGCCUGGUAACCACACCUCUGUUCUCUCUUCGUUAUUAACCGUAACCUCAGCUCAACUCACCGCUUUGUGUCUCCUAAUAGAACCGCUCCAACACUCUGACGGUGCCCAUCCAGUGCUCGGUCAACGUGGCCUCCUACAGAGACGUCUCGGUCCACAUCACCGGAGCGCUGAGGAUAGACACGCUCCACGCUCUGAAGUUUAAGAUCGUGGAGGUGGUGAGCAGCGCCUCGGUGGAGCUGCCCUCGUCCAGCCCAUGUUCCUCCAUGAAGAGCGGCCCGUCAGACACAUCGUCCUGGAGAUCAGAAAGGCAGGCGAUUACCGGAUUCCCACCUGGGUGAUCGUGGGCAGCACCCUGGGCGGGCUGCUGCUGUUAGCCCUGCUCAGCCUGGCUCUGUGGAAGCUCGGCUUCUUCCGGAGGCAGAAGCGGCGAGAGGAGGACGAGCACCCGCCCAAAGAGGAGCGGUAACAGCAGCUGAGGCCCGUCGCGGAGCUGCGCACAGGGACCCACUCUCAGGGACCGCUGCACUCACCCACGGCGGCGGGACGGCGGGACCACAGCAGAGACCGGACACGCCGUCACCCUCGGCCCCCUUCAGCCUGACCGUGGGACUGCUCCGGGUUUCGAAAAUCAAAGACUUUUCUUGGCAGAGACAGGCUCCGUAAAGCUUGUUUGUGCGCGUAUUUAUUAGACUUUGGAUGGAAAACCUCAUGGUGUAUAAUGACGUUACUGUUUAUGGAAGCUUAUGAAUAUUAAUUUAUGAAGAGAGUAAAGUGAGGAGAGAUGGUGAUGUUUAACCGGCUGGUGUCGCUGUGUUACAUCCGGGAUCUCCAAUGGAAGAAAAGAAAAUAGCUCAAGUUUCGACUUUAUACUUCAAUAGAAAACAAAUGUGUCUAACCUUUGACUGAUUAAGGUAGAAAUGUAGAAAACCUUCUGGUUGGAGAUCCCUGUGUUUCCAUUGUUAACCUCAGCAUUAUUGCCAUGGUCAUAGGCCCUGUCCCAAUCCCCAGCAGCUUAGACUCCACUCUGGAGAAUUGGGACACCCUACGCACUGGCACCCAUCAUCGGGAACGCCCAAGGGUGAAAGUGUGAGUAUUGGGACAGGGCCAUAUUUUAAGGUUUUGAAGGAAUUGGGAGAAAAACAAAACGAUGUUAACAAGAAGCGUCAAUCUCAAUGACUUGGUAAUCAUUCUGUUGUGUUUCAUGUUCUCCUUUCUCCUUAUUUAUAUUGCGGGCGGGAAUUCUCAUGGCCAGAUACAGCACGCCCUUGUCUGUCCCGGUGCCAUGCCAUUGAUCCGACAACCCAUUAGUCCGAAAAUGUCCCAUUGAGCAGAGGUGCCAUUAGUCCCACAUCUCUAACCCAGUUGUGUUGUGGAUUAGAGAGUCAUUUACAACCACUGGCCCUAACCUUAGGUCAGUGGACUCUUGCCUGAACCUCGUUUUAUUUUUCAAACCCUGCUCAAUGGGACAUUUUGAAAUAAUGAGACGUCGGACUAAUGGGUCGACCCCGUCUGUCCCUGCACGGCACAACGUCUGCACAGCUUUUGUCCUGAAGAACUGUCUUUUUGAGACUCUAUACACAACGUUUACAUGUGAAGUCUAAUCCGACUAGGCUUUAGAUUCGACUCCAAUCCGUUUCCCCCAAAACCUGUCUAACCAGUCUUGUUCCGGUCACAUGAUCCGAAUGUCCUUCGGCAGCAGAAGGGAGCAGCGCGAUCUCCCGCCAGCAGGGGGCAGGGGGUGGAUGGCUCUCCGCACCAUUUCCAGUUCACCUUCGGGUGCUAUGUUGUUUUUAGCAAAGAGCUAGCCCAGUUAGCCCUGUGACGUCCUACGGAUCUUUAACGAAACACCCACAGUUUAAGCAGAAGGUCCAGUACAGCAACCUGUGCAGUGAACGCUAACAUCAGUAUACAUGUACACACUUUCGUAAAUCCUAUAGCCCAAUAAUAGCUUUCUUUUUACGGGAAGCACAAAUUCAAUACAUUCAAUCCAUUCAACUAUUAUCAAUAGUGGUCAUGGCAGUGACAGCAGCUAAAACCAAACUUAGCAGUAGCUACUUUAUAACACAAUCUAAAAAUAAUGUGACGAUAUCUUCA
rnacentral:lncRNA from 1 species